rnacentral:rRNA from 1 species
AACGAACGCUGGCGGCAUGCCUAACACAUGCAAGUCGAACGAGACCUUCGGGUCUAGUGGCGCACGGGUGCGUAACGCGUGGGAACCUGCCCUUAGGUUCGGAAUAACUCCCCGAAAGGGGUGCUAAUACCGGAUAAUGUCUUCGGACCAAAGAUUUAUCGCCUUUGGAUGGGCCCGCGUUGGAUUAGCUAGUUGGUAGGGUAAAAGCCUACCAAGGCGACGAUCCAUAGCUGGUCUGAGAGGAUGAUCAGCCACACUGGGACUGAGACACGGCCCAGACUCCUACGGGAGGCAGCAGUGGGGAAUAUUGGACAAUGGGCGAAAGCCUGAUCCAGCAAUGCCGCGUGAGUGAUGAAGGCGUUAGGGUUGUAAAGCUCUUUUACCCGGGAUGAUAAUGACAGUACCGGGAGAAUAAGCACCGGCUAACUCCGUG